GGCUCCCAGCCUCUCACUGGUGACAGAUAAGCUGUCCAUGAAACAGGCUUUGGAAUCUCAUAAAGUUCAUUUCCUUGAGUAAAGCUUAGAACAGCCUCCUUCUCUCUCCCAGCACCUGCUUUUGUGAGUGAGCCGCCUCCAUUCCUUUAACCUGAAGCAGUGGUCCAUGCAUCGUGGGUGGAAAGGUAUGUUUUUAAUUUGAAGGACCCUCCCUGUUUUGCUUGCAUGAAGCGCUCUUUCUUUCCAUGUCUUCAUUCCACUCAGCAUUCCAGUCAUUCAGAGACUCAUACUGUUUACAUGGUCUGAUGCCCUGCGGUUAUGCUCUACUGUAAAAUGAGGGAUAUUUUGUUUCGGCUUAAAUGAUCCGUCCUGGGGAAUUCCCCUACCUGGAUUAAUGAGCUUCUGUGAACACCUGGGAAGAAUUUGAAACCUGGGCUUGUUAGAACUAGUUAGGGCUCCCUGACGACCGUGCGGAAUGGAUUGGCACAACAGCUCCAAGCUAUAUCCUUUACUCUGAUCAUGGCUUGUCAUUAUAGAAGAGAACCUGGAUUGUGAUUUAUCACAAAGGCUGGCAAAUUGAACAAACUAGCUGUACAACCUGCGGUCUAAUGUUGGUUUGUUGUGAAACUGACUAGAGUUUGUCACAAGCCACAACCUCAGUUUUCCCCACAAUGGCCUGAUCUGUACAACACAGUAAGCUUUUGGGGGGGGGGGCCCAGACUUUCCACCUCCAGGGCCCACUUGAGCUGAGAGGUUGUGAAGUUCUGGAAUGCCAGAGUUUGCCCUGGUUGUCAGUGGUGAGAUGAAAUUAGGAGAAACUCAGAAAUAAAAAUUUAAACCCACUGGUUUAUAUUGGAGCGGUGGAAAUUGGCAAAGGAAAGGCUUUAAAAGGAAAAUGAAAACUGACAACUAGGUUAUACAUUAUGAAAUAAACAAAUGAGAAGAAUAAGCUUAGUCAAGGAUAGUGACUUUUGCUGCCCAAUCAGUUGACCCUCUAAUUCCUUUUGGCAUGCAAAGUGAUGAAGUAGAAAAGGGUGAGUUGACAUUAUCCUGUUAAUCCACAGAAAAGACAGCCCUUUUUUCUGGAGGGGAAACAUGUGCCAUCAAAUUAAGGUCUCUGUUGUUUGUGCCGCCUUUCCAUACGUAGCAGAAAAGGUGGUUCAUUCACUAUUUUACCAUGUGAGGGAAACUCCAGUUAGUUGGAAAAGCCAAGAACUAAGAUCCCCUCCUAAGAAUGAUGUUCGAUCGAAAAUGUAAUCUGCAGCAUGUUCUUGACACAAUAAUUCUAUAUUAGUUGUGGAUUUAUUCCCCAGUGUUACCACAUUUCUGCUUUCUGGAGGGGAUGUAGCACAUCAAAAGCAGGACAAGAAUAAACCAGAUUACCUAUGGUAUAAAAUGAUUUCAGCAAGAAGUUAUGCACUGAUUGGAAGCAAAACAGCGUGGCCUUUGGAGGCACAAACAAUAUUGAAAUAGUAUUGUGUGUAACUGUCCCAAUAGUACCAAGAGCACCAAUAACCAAUAAUGUGCAAUGAAAAGGAUGUCUGGAUGUCUAAACCUCAGUUUGUUCUCAUGGGGACAUACCAUGUUUUCCCAUUACAUCUGAAGGCCCCUUACUCAUAAUACAGCUAGCAUAACAAGCAUGUUCAGACCCCAGAAGAAUUCAGAAUCUUUGCUUUUGAUUAACCACCAUGUGCCAUGUCAUUUGGACCAGAAAUACAGAUUAAUUUAAUUUUAAAAAGCCAGCUUUCAAUACCAUGAUUUGAAAUUGACUUGUUUUAAGUUAACCAGAGGUAAUGCUAACCACAGUUUGUCAGUCUGGAUGCUUUACCAAAAGCAGAAACAGUGUCUUCUGUAUAUCUCCCAGCUGUGCAGGAAGAGCAGAGUAAGUGUAUGAGAGAAGCACACAAGCCCAAAGCCUGCUGUGGCUCAUUCCUGCAUGACCCCAUAACACAAAACCAUGGUUUAGUGUGAUGUAAGAAUGUGACCAUUGUGUCUAUGCCGCUGAUUAAAACUAUGCCAUCUCAAACUUAGGUAAAUUAGUUCCAGAAUGCAAAUUGUCUGCAUUGUUGUAUUUGUGAACAACAUUAAGAAAAUUUCCUCUGAUUGCCUGUGAGGUACUCUAUAAAAUGAUAUUUGAUGCAAGGGUUCCAGUUUCUCCUUAUGAAAGGGAAAGGUCAACCCAAGGGGUCAACUGCAGGGUAGGCUGUCCGUUGCUAAAUGAUUCUGGUGAAGGAGUCCAAUGACACUUAGUCCCAACCAGACCAAAGAAAGGAAGAAACCUCGUAUUUUCUCUCUUUCUUUCACCUGGAGUCUCAAGAUUGCUGCUCCUCCUUUGAGAUUACGAGCAUCUGAGCAUAUCUUUGGUUUAUGAAGCUUCCUGUUCAUUAACAGUUCUUUAUUAGUAUGCUUUUCAGAAGAUUAUCCUCGGCUGAAUGAAACUCUGUGGCAUCCAGCACCCCUACGCUUUCCCCUUGGGCUGCUGCUAAGUCCAGUGGGCUUCAGUGCUAUCCUCAAAUGCAUUGUAAAUAUCACUGUGGACUUCACGCUUCAUUGCUCUAAAGCUUUCCCUUGCCCCAGAGAGUGCAAGCUUGAGAGCUUAGGUCUAAGCAUCCAGGUUGACAUUCCCAGUGCUGCAUUACAUCAUAACUUUGUUUCUCUCUUUCACCACCCUCCCCUUCCCUCUUAUCUCUUGAAUUUUCAUUAAAUAAAAAUGUGAAGAGAACAUUUGUAAUCAUAACGUCAGCUCAAACCUUACCCACCAUACUCAGCUGAGCUUACUCCAAGGUAAGUAUGUAAAGAAAUGCAGCCUUUGUCAUCCAUAUGGCUAGUCGAUGGAAGAUGAAAUCACUGGGAACUGUUCUCUCAUGUUAUAGUUCCAUUCAUUUAAGUCCACACCUACAUAUGGAGGGAGGAUAUAUAUGGAGAUCUCUGUUGAGAAUGGCUACAACUGUGUCUUUUUUUCUCAGCCUAUUUACAUGCUUCUGGAAGUAGUCGAAAUGUGUGUUAUGAGGAGUGCAUUAUGAGUUGUGGGUGCUGGGCCUCUCUAAUCUCUGGAUCUAGUAAGUGUUAGAAUUUAAUCAAGGCUUGGCGUACUAAGAUGUGUGUCAGACACUGCUAAUCCCUAGAUCCAGCAAGUGUUUAAAGCUGAUUAAGCCAGAUGGGUGAUGGGCUACUAAAAGGGCUUGUGCUAGAUGACAACUCCCUCAACAGAUAAAGUCACAGGGUUAAUGUUGAGAGUUGAGCUGUUAUGUGAGCUAGAAGCUAGAAAAAAAGCAGCAAGCUGGAAAGCCAGAGAGGCAGAAUGUGAUGUUUGAGGUCUGCUGGAAUCCAAGGCUGUGGCUAGGGUAGGACCAAGACCCUUUGGUGAGCUGUGAGUCCCUCCAUCAUGGGCUCAGGUUGUAUAUCUCUGUGUAAAUAAACCAUAUAUCCCAAAGAGACACCAAAAUCUCUGCUGUACUUCAUUCCCCAAAGGAAACACGAACCCUGUGUAAGAACCAGGAAACCCUGGAAUCUUGAACUGUUCAGAGAUACUGGACCAAACUGCCCCUUGCAUUGGUAUUCCAGUGUAGAGGAUGUGUAGAUAAGGAGCAUAAGGCUAUCAAGGGUUACUAGUCAUCAUGAUAACAUGCUGUGUCCAGGAGUUGAGGAACCAACAUAGAAGAGGGCCUUCCUGUCUUUUUCUGUGGGCUUGCCAAUGUAUAUGGUUGACCACUGUGAGGAACAGAGUGCUAGACUGGGUUGGUCUUGGCUCUGGAUCAGUAGGGCUCUUCGGAGAUUUCUUAUGUAGCUAUGCUUUGCCUUGCAAUCAAAAGUGGACGGCUUGUAUUGUUUGCAGUGCUUCUACACUAGGUGUUUAGUAGUGUGAAAAUGCCAUGCUUCAGAAUCUGUACAAUGCUGCCAUCCAGUCAUUGUCAUCCUGUAUUUUCCUUGUAAUUCGUCUGUCUUUUCUCAUAACACUGAAAGUUCAACUUUUCCCAGAAGACUAGCACAAUCUCCACAGCUGUUUCUGCAUUUAGCACCACUCUUCUAGUCUUUGAAAAAAGUGGCGUUUUGACCUAGGCUGUGACAUGUCAGGUAGGAAAACUUAUCACAGCUCAGUGCACACUCACUAUAAUCUUUGCAGUGGACAACUUUUUUUCACCCCAUUGACUCUCCUCAGAAAAUCUUUUAAUUAGUGUUAAAAUGCUUUCCUAG